ensembl:processed_transcript 5031434O11Rik RIKEN cDNA 5031434O11 gene
CCAGGCUCAAGGUGGAAGGGUGCAUGUGUGUGCUGACGGAGGGGAAGGGCCUGCCACAAGUGUCUUACCUCUCUCUGUCUUUGGGUUCAGAGGAGAAUGUCCUCUUGGAGGAGUGCAGUUAGCCCAGGUGUUAUGAGCAGCCUACCUGUGCCAAGAGCCUUUCCAUGUGCUGCUUUGAGAGUGUUUGUUACCAGCGCCCAUUCCCUGCCUCUACAGAAAUGGAUCUCGAAUGUGCCUAGAAGGGUCUGGUGCUGAGGCGUUGUACAUACUAGGCUACCACUACUCCUAGCCCCUUGAUGAUGGGUUCAGGAAUGCUUCUACUGGCUGAGCACGCCCUCCGCUCCUCACUGGUACAGUGAGACAGGACUUCAUCACUGAGCCACUACUCCCCGUCUCCCAGCUCCUAGCUCAUGUCCCUGCAGUGUAUCCAGUAAACUAAAUUUAGACCCUCUGGGACAACAGAGAAGGAGCCAUGUGGCCCAGAUCUCUGUCUUCGUGUGCCGUGGGCCAUAUGACAUGCUUGCCUUCUCGGAUCUGAAAACCUAGGCUAGAUUUGGGUCUAGUGAAGCAACUUGGGGGUUGGGGGAAAGGCAACAAUCGGAAACUGCGCAUUUCUGUAACAAUAACUUCAGACAAAGUAAGAUGAAGAGAUUUGAAAAAUAAAUACAAUUGCCAUGAAA